GGGAGCAUAGCUCAGCUGGGAGAGCAUCUGCCUUACAAGCAGGAGGUCACAGGUUCGAGCCCUGUUGCUCCCACCA
rnacentral:tRNA from 1 species